AUCACUCGGUGGUAUCUGGCUCUACAGCCUUUUAACUUCAAGCAGUGAGCAGGAUCCAGGUCGGGAGAUCGUGAGCAGAGCAGAGCGGAGCACGAGAGCUGAGCUGAGCGGAGCCGGACAAAACGAAACCGACCAUGCCCAUAGAGCGACCUCAUUCCUGCUCACUGCCUUCCCCGUUUGGACAAUAAAGACUGGUUACCCUCA